rnacentral:rRNA from 1 species
UACGAAGGGGGCUAGCGUUGCUCGGAAUUACUGGGCGUAAAGCGCGCGCAGGCGGCCCUUUAAGUCGGGGGUGAAAGCCCAGAGCUCAACUCUGGAACUGCCUUCGAAACUAGAGGACUUGGGUACGGGAGAGGUGAGUGGAAUUCCGAGUGUAGAGGUGAAAUUCGUAGAUAUUCGGAAGAACACCAGUGGCGAAGGCGGCUCACUGGCCCGUUACCGACGCUCAGGCGCGACAGCGUGGGGAGCAAACAGG